rnacentral:rRNA from 1 species
CUGUAGUAAUGGCGAAUGAACAGGGAAUAGCUCAGCAUGAGAAUUGGGGCUUCAUGCCUUGACGUGUUGUCUGCAGAUUGACUGCCAACAUGGGUGCAGAUGAAAGCCUCUUGGAAAAGAGUGCCGCAGAGGGUGAGAGUCCCGUGUGACAUCUGUGGUCCGAUGUGUACGGCAGCCAUUCAAAGAGUCAUGUUUCUCGGGAUUGAAGCGUAAAGAGGGUGGUAAAUUCCAUCUAAAGCUAAACAUUGGCUCGAGACCGAUAGAACACAAGUACCAUGAGGGAAAGAUGAAAAGGACUUUGAAAAGAGAGCUAACAGUGCCUGAACUUGCUGAAAGGAAAGCGAAUGGAACCACUGUUUGUAGCAAGAUUGUGAUCUAAGGUGAACUACCUCUUGACGCUUUGAGUGAAAGCCUUAGUGUUUUUGGGUGAUUUACUGUAUAUCAUGCUGCUUGCUGCUUGUGUCAUUCUCAGCAUUUGAGUGGGAGACCUUCUGUGUUGCUUGAUUUUCUUUUGCGAAGGAAAGGAACUUCACAGUGCAACCUGCUGAAGUGCUGCAAUUCGUGUUCUUUGCUUAGCUGAAGCCUUCUGCUCAGAGCCCUUCACAGGUCCUGUAACAGGAGGUAGAUGCUUGCUAGAAUGCCUACCUGAAUGGCAAGUGUGGUUCUAUUCUACCCGUCUUGAAACACGGACCAAGGAGUCUAACACGUGUGCAAGUUUCAGACUAUGAAUGUCCUGUUGCGAAAUGAAAAUGAUUGCUGUGAUUUCUUGCAACAGCUUCCAACUGAUCAAUUGUGAGAGGUUUGAGUGUGAGCAUACUUGUUAGGACCCGAAAGAUGGUGAACUAUGCCUGAGAAGGGCAAGCUCAGGGGAAACUCUGAUGGAGGCUCGCAGCGGUACUGACGUGCAAAUCGUUCGUCAUACUUGGGUAUAGGGGCGAAAGACUAAUCGAACCAUCUAGUAGCUGGUUCCCUCCGAAGUUUCCCUCAGGAUAGCUGGAGCUGUGGAGUUUUAUCAAGUAAAGCGAAUGAUUAGAGGACUCGGGGGCGUGCUGUCCUCGACCUAUUCUCAAACUUUAAAUGGGUAAGAUCCAGUGGUUUCUUCUUUGAACUUCUGGGAUAAAUGAAAGCUCCAAGUGGGCCAUUUUUGGUAAGCAGAAUUGGCGAUGAGGGAUGAACCUAACGCUGUGUUAAGGUGCUGAACUGCUCGCUCAUCAGAUGCCACAAAGGGUGUUGGUUCAUUUUGACAGCAGGACGGUGGUCAUGGAAGUCGAAAUCCGCUAAGGAGUGUGUAACAACUCACCUGCCGAAUGAACUAGCCCCGAAAAUGGAUGGCGCUCAAGCGUGUGACCGAUACACAGCCAUUCUUGCAAACAUUUGCAUCAAUGAGUAGGAGGGCUUGGGUGUA